AUGUUGGAGUGUGAUCCUGACUGGGCCCCUUCUCUGUACCUCAGCCAUACUGAGGUCAAAGCUACAGACACAGACCGGUUCAAGCGGUUUAGGAGAAGAGCGAUGAGGUCACAACAACAACACCCAUCGCUAGACACCGACAACACUGGUCCUGAGGCUGAGCUGGAUAAUGCAGCACCCUUAAACCCAGACACUACACCUGCACCUGAGACGGAAGAUCCUGUGAAUCCACCUCCAUCGCCGGACACUGUCCACACCACUCAUGAGACUGAGCUGAAUGAAGCAGCACAUUUGUUCCCAGGAAAAUAUUGUUAGACUACUCUGUACUUGUGGCAGAGAUGGAAGGACAAGAGACUCAGCCCCAGACAAUGAAGGGAGAGAGGAAGAUAUGGAAACUGAAACAUCAGGGGAUGAUGGUGCUCCAAUGGGGAAUGAACAGCAGAACUGCACCAUGUGUGGCUCAGACUCAAAGAAAUAGUGCCAGUGAUAAGCAGAUCACAGAGAACUGUGGCUUUCUUCAGAAGCUCUCGCCUGGAGACCUAGUGUUAGCGGAUUUGAUAUUAAAGAAAGUGCUACACUGAAAAUACCUGCCUUCACCAGGGGCCACAGCAAACUUAAUGCAAAAGAUGUGGAAGAGUCCAGGACGUUAGCUCAUGUCAGGAUCCACGUGGAGCGAGUGAUAGGGUGUAUGCGCUCUAAAAUUAACAUAUUAAAUGACACAAUGCGUCUGAGAUUUGUGGUGCCCUGUGAGGGGGGGGGUAAGACUUUGCUGGAUAAAAUUGUGGUUGUGUGCUGUGCUUUGACCAAUAUGUGUCCAAGUAUUGUUGUGAAGCCAUCGUGUUAGAAUUAUACACCAUGCUCACAUCUAAUAUGUAAACUUUUUUUUGUUUUCCAAAAGAUUUUGUAAUGUCUUUUCCCACAUGUAAUGAUUUUUAGCCAUGUCUGCAAAUAAAAUACACAAAGAUUGAAUUAAAUUCUGCCUCCUUUAUCUGUAUUAAGGAAGAAUCAGUGUUCUUUGGUUGCAAAUGCAAUUAAAUAACUUAAACAGUAGUAACAACCAACUUAAACCAAAAUGUUAACAUUUACAUUAUAAAGAGUCCAUAGAAAAGAUGAGAAACUGAAAAUAUAUGAGGUAGGUUGUGGGUGAUAAGUCACAGACACAUGACUCUUCUCUGGCUGGAGUCCCACGCAGUCUAAAUGAAACCACUGUAGAGGACCGUUAACAUGUCUUCAAGCUCUUCAGGCUGUCUGCAAAAGCACCACAACACAGCCUUUUCACAUGUCCUUCUUUUGGGCUGGCGGUGUGACCUGGCUGCAGUGUGGUCCAUGAUAUUUUGAUUGUGUUUUUUCGUGCUCGUUUUUUGAUUUUGGCUGUGAAUCAAAUAAUGGCUCAAAUAAUUCAACUCCAUCCUUCCUUCUGUGAACUGCAGACAAAACUCCUUGUCAGUACAUGCCUGCAGAAUGUUAUGGUCCUGGUGCUUAAAAGGGCAUUUAAUCUCCACACAUCCUUUCCGGCAACAUGCACAAUGCACAAGACAAGUGCAUCAGGAGUCGUGCCUAUUUUUGGGAAAGAAGGGUUGAUUAUGAAUCCACAGUUGACUUUGCUGGUCUGGUUCUGGAGGUGGAGACAACAGCGUGUAUGAUGGAGGUGGUUAUCCUUCCAGCUCGUGUGCUGUGCCAUAUGUCAGACUUCUGCCGCUGUCCUGUGUUCUUUUCCAGUGCAGCUGCCUCUGUGGCUGUCACAAGGUGUGCCAGGCCCUCACAGUGUGGAAGCAGG
ensembl:lncRNA